rnacentral:rRNA from 1 species
UACGGGGGGGGCAAGCGUUGUUCGGAAUUACUGGGCGUAAAGGGCUCGUAGGCGGCCAACUAAGUCAUACGUGAAAUCCCUCGGCUUAACCGGGGAACUGCGUCUGAUACUGGAUGGCUUGAGUUCGGUAGGGGAGACUGGAAUUCCUGGUGUAGCGGUGAAAUGCGCAGAUAUCAGGAGGAACACCGGUGGCGAAGGCGGGUCUCUGGGCCGAUACUGACGCUGAGGAGCGAAAGCGUGGGGAGCGAACAGG